CAUAUACUCCCUCCGUUCAAAAAUACUUGUCAUCAAAAUAAACAAAAAGGAUGUAUCUAGAACUAAAGUACAUCUAGAUACAUCCAUUUUUAUUCAUUUUGAUGACAAAUAUUUCCGGACGGAGGGAGUAUGUC
rnacentral:pre_miRNA from 1 species